UACGUAGGGUGCAAGCGUUGUCCGGAAUUAUUGGGCGUAAAGGGCUCGUAGGCGGUCUGUCACGUCGGGAGUGAAAACUCAGGGCUUAACCCUGAGCCUGCUUCCGAUACGGGCAGACUAGAGGUAUGCAGGGGAGAACGGAAUUCCUGGUGUAGCGGUGAAAUGCGCAGAUAUCAGGAGGAACACCGGUGGCGAAGGCGGUUCUCUGGGCAUGAUCUGACGCUGAGGAGCGAAAGUGUGGGGAGCGAACAGG
rnacentral:rRNA from 1 species